GGGCGCGUAGCUCAGCGGGAGAGCAUCGGUCUUACAAACCGAGGGUCGCAGGUUCGAAACCUGCCGCGCCCACCA
rnacentral:tRNA from 1 species